UUUUAUAUAAAACCCUUAAUCGAAUAAUCCCAAAAAGCCAAACCCAACAAAAUUGACCGAAAAAAUUAUCUAAUGAAGUUAGCUCAUACCUUUAAAGAUUGAAACUUUGAAUGUGAAACGGAAAUUCCCAAAUUGGGAACAGACUGAAAUCGACCAAGACAUCCCUUCCUCCUCUCUAGACUUUCCCUCAGCAAAUCUUUCUUCUUCUUCUAACUGAAGCCUCCUCAGCUCAGCUUCCAUUCCAUCCCUUUUUUUUUUUUCAAGGAAACUAUCGGUUGGUGGCUGUUACAAUUUUCCUAUGCACAGAAAGUGUCCUACCAUGUUCUGUGACGUUGAUAACCUUCCACUUUCUGUUGAGGAAGAUGAAAAUUCAUUCUGUGGAUCGGUCAUGUCAAUAAACUCGGUUCCGGAGCAAGAUGUCCUUCCGGAGUAAGAUGUCGAUGUAGAGCUUCUGUCUGACUCUGAGCUAGUUGGAUGCCUAGGGGGCAUUCCUGCUGUCAUACUAUCAGAGAAAGCAAAGGUGCGACCCAAGCUUUGCUUGUUGCUGCUCACCGGUAAUAUAGUUGCUGACCUGUAUGGUUCGUAGUUAUUAAUUGUAUUUCAACAUCCUCUUUUCUCAUCAUUAUUAUUAGUAGUGUUAUAUAACUAGAAUAUUAGAACCUUUUAAAGAAAUUAGUUGAGAGUUACUCGAGUUUAGUGUCAUUUGGCAGGCUACACUGCGGAGACUGUGUCCUUUCUGAUGGUGCAUUCAUCAAAGAACCAUGAGUUAGUAAUGACAAAAAUUAACUAUGUAUAUACAUGAUGUGAGAAAUAACGAGGAUGCUCAAAGUCAAGAAACAAACCACUUUGGUGAUGCUGCACAUUUUGUUCACAUGGAGAUGGAAGCCCUUUUGGUUUUUGGGGUAGAGCACCAGUUGCAGAUCGCACAGACGAGAUCUUUUCUCUGCCAAUAACAUAUACAGUGCAAAAGUCCGGUGACCCCUUUAACACGGUGAUCGGUACGUCUCUAGUUUUGAAUCUGUUGAGAAACAACAUUGAUGUAAUGAUCAGAACCAAUGCAUGUUUGUGUAAUUGUUCCACCUGCUAAUUAAGGUUUAUGCCUUGGCACAUGGAAUCAAUUAAUCACCUGAAAAGGCUGCUUUUAGAUGGUACACCAAGUACCAAAACCUCGAUUGAAUUUGCAGCGACAUAGUUGAAAAGUGCUUUUGGUAUAUCAGAAUCUUCCAGUAUGACUGCAUUGCAGGUUAUCUGGUACAAAUAUCAGCUCAUAAGGAGAAGAAAUUUUUAGGAGACACAAGAUGAUGUACAAAUUCUGAAGAGAUUUCUGCAACCUCCUCGGUGACUUCAGAGCUUGGAACCAUGCGUCCUGCUGCACCAUAAUAUGAGAAAAACAUUGGAAAUUAAGUAUAAGAUUAUGAUCGUGGAUGGAUACAAAAGAAUUAGAUCGAUGCAGAGAGAAGGCAGAUGUACUUUGGUUGGGAACUGCAGGUUGCUUAACAUGAAGCAAUGUGAGAGUUUGGCCUGGCUUGACGAGAUGAUUAACAACCCAUUGGAAAGCAUAUUGACUUCCUUUGUCCUUGUCUAUUGCCACUGCUACUGCAUCUCCUCUGUUUCUGGAUGCUUGCCUUCUUAGUCCCAUUAAUUUCUGGGUAUUCUAAACACUAAAACCCAGCUACAGCUAAUUAAGAAUUCGAUCACGCAGAAAUUUACAAUGAACACACUUUCAAAACCAAUCACAACUUGAAUCACCCUUUUGCUUUUGUUUUCUCUCUAUCUCUCUCACGAUAUUGUGGAGGCCUGGCCAGGUGAUCAAUCCAGCUUUUGACUAGGGAGAGUUUGUUAACACAAGAAAAUAGUUGGUUACUUCUGUUAAGAGGAGAAGAGAGCAUGGAGAGUUUGUUAAAUUACUUCUGUUAUGAGGAGAAGAGAGUUGGUUGCUUCAGUUAAGACUCAGGUAUCUUAAUAGCCAUCUGUUUACAUUUGCAUGAUCUUGCGCUCUCAACAGAGCCUUUGAUUUUACAUUGUUAGAGAAAAUAUAUCGACUGCCAGCAUGUUCACAUUGUUGAGCAGUUGUAACAGAUUGGAAUAAUCAUAAAUGUAACAUUUUCUUAUAUUAUGAACCUAGCAAUAAUUUCUUAAAAUUAUUGCUAAACAUCUUGGCAUCUUGCAGUUAUUGAUGAAACACUUACUAUU